UCUUGCCCCAGGUCUUGAGCGCAGGGUCAGCCAGUGCAGUGCAGAGUUUAGCAGUCAAUUUGGAAUAGUAAACAGAAAUUCAUAACCUAAAGAUAAAAUAUUAAAGAAAUAUUUUCUCAACCGAGGACAAACGGAAAAAACCCCCUAUUAAAGAAAUAAACGAGAAAAAAUGGAAGACCAAGAAUUUGCUGUGAUAUCAAAAGAUUCAAGUGGAAACAUUUUAGUAGAUGUAAACGGAUUUGUCACAUGUACUUUGGAAGGAGGUCUGCAAUUUCAAGUACCAUAUAAAGAAAUAGAUUUUACUUGUGAUGGAUUAGAAUGUAUUGUUGACAAUAGAAAAGUAUAUGUAAAAUUACAUGAAACUACAGACAAUACAUCAAUAAAUAAAGAAAAUAUAAUAUCUCCUCCAGUAAUACAAAAUGAAAAUAAUACGAUUAUACAAGAAAAACGUAGGAUAGAUGAUACUUUUGCUUGGACCGAUGCGAGUACCAAAUUGUUUUUAAGUAUAUACAAAGAAAAAAUAGAACUUUUGAUAAACCGAAAAAUCAAAACAAGAAAAAUAUUAUGGGACAAAAUACGUGAAGUUAUGCAAUCAGAAGGAUACAAUGUUACAGUUAUUCAAAUCGAAAACAAAUAUAAAUCUCUUGAAAGGUCAUUUAAAAACAUGAUUACAAAUAAUAAACAGACGGGCAGAUAGCGUACAACAUGUCCAUAUCAAGCGGAAUUAACAGAACUUUUAGGUUCUAAGCAUAAUGUAGAACCUUUGGCUGUUUCUGGCAGAGAAGGUUUAAUUUUACGAGAAGAUGUGAGAGCAAGUACAUCUCAAUUUAUUUCUGAUCCAAAUACAAAUUCAGAUGAAAAUUCAAACAUACUAUCUCAUAAUAUACAAGAGGAAAAUGAUAAUGCAAUCGAAAUAGGAAUGACGAGGGACACUACUACAGGAAGUAAUUAUACCAGCAAGAUUAUUACAAAGCAAAGCGAAAAAAAAUAGGGAGUACUGCACGAAUAGUAGAAAAGUGUCAAGAAACUGUUGAAAAGUUUAUAAAUGAUGCUGCGCAAGAAAAAGAAAAUAAAUUAGAAAUACAAAGGCAAAUACUUACAGAGUACAAAGAAAUGAGAAUUAGUUACGAGCAAUUUCUGAAGAAAAUACAAGAACAAUUAGAAACUUCAAAUAAAUUAA